GCGUCGGUAGUGCAAUGGUUAGCAUACGCCACCGCCAAGAGUGAGAUCUAGGUUCGAAUCCCUGCCGACGCA